ACGGAAGGCAGCAGUGGGGAAUAUUGCACAAUGGGGGAAACCCUGAUGCAGCGACGCCGCGUGAGUGAAGAAGUAUUUCGGUAUGUAAAGCUCUAUCAGCAGGAAAGAAAAUGGCGGUACCUGACUAAGAAGCCCCGGCUAACUACGUGCCAGCAGCCGCGGUAAUACGUAGGGGGCAAGCGUUAUCCGGAUUUACUGGGUGUAAAGGGAGCGUAGACGGCUUUGCAAGUCUGAAGUGAAAGCCCGGGGCUCAACCCCGGAACUGCUUUGGAAACUGUAGAGCUAGAGUGCAGGAGAGGUAAGUGGAAUUCCUAGUGUAGCGGUGAAAUGCGUAGAUAUUAGGAGGAACACCAGUGGCGAAGGCGGCUUACUGGACUGUAACUGACGUUGAGGCUCGAAGGCGUGGGGAGCAAACAGGAUUAGAUACCCUGGUA
rnacentral:rRNA from 1 species